rnacentral:rRNA from 1 species
CCAGACUCCUACGGGAGGCAGCAGUAGGGAAUCUUCGGCAAUGGACGGAAGUCUGACCGAGCAACGCCGCGUGAGUGAAGAAGGUUUUCGGAUCGUAAAGCUCUGUUGUAAGAGAAGAACGAGUGUGAGAGUGGAAAGUUCACACUGUGACGGUAUCUUACCAGAAAGGGACGGCUAACUACGUGCCAGCAGCCGCGGUAAUACGUAGGUCCCGAGCGUUGUCCGGAUUUAUUGGGCGUAAAGCGAGCGCAGGCGGUUAGAUAAGUCUGAAGUUAAAGGCUGUGGCUUAACCAUAGUACGCUUUGGAAACUGUUUAACUUGAGUGCAAGAGGGGAGAGUGGAAUUCCAUGUGUAGCGGUGAAAUGCGUAGAUAUAUGGAGGAACACCGGUGGCGAAAGCGGCUCUCUGGCUUGUAACUGACGCUGAGGCUCGAAAGCGUGGGGAGCAAACAGGAUUAGAUACCCUGGUAGUCCACGCCGUAAACGAUGAGUGCUAGGUGUUAGACCCUUUCCGGGGUUUAGUGCCGCAGCUAACGCAUUAAGCACUCCGCCUGGGGAGUACGACCGCAAGGUUGAAACUCAAAGGAAUUGACGGGGGCCCGCACAAG